rnacentral:rRNA from 1 species
UACGUAGGUGGCAAGCGUUGUCCGGAUUUAUUGGGCGUAAAGCGCGCGCAGGCGGCUAUGUAAGUCUGGUGUUAAAGCCCGGAGCUCAACUCCGGUUCGCAUCGGAAACUGUGUAGCUUGAGUGCAGAAGAGGAAAGCGGUAUUCCACGUGUAGCGGUGAAAUGCGUAGAGAUGUGGAGGAACACCAGUGGCGAAGGCGGCUUUCUGGUCUGUAACUGACGCUGAGGCGCGAAAGCGUGGGGAGCAAACAGGAUUAGAUACCCUGGUAGUCCACGCCGUAAACGAUGAGUGCUAGGUGUUGGGGGUUUCAAUACCCUCAGUGCCGCAGCUAACGCAAUAAGCACUCCGCCUGGGGAGUACGCUCGCAAGAUUAAA